UGCUGGUGGUGAAGUGCUCCCUGUCCGAGCACUGGGCCCUUCCGGGGGUGAGCCAGGGCCUGCACCA
ensembl:snoRNA